rnacentral:misc_RNA from 1 species
ACGAUAUUCGGUAUAUGCUUCAAAAUGGCUGCGCCCAUGAACACAUGUAAACAUUUGAUUAGGACGUUGACCAGAAUUAGAAAACCGAAGCCUAUUAAUAAUUGAAGAAAUUCUAUAAGAAUGCCAGUAUUGUACAGAAUCAAGGUUGGUUUGAGGUCAACUUGGAUCAAAGAAAAUUACGCACCCCAACAGGGAACCUUUUUCAGGUUCCCAGUGAACCAUUGGCUCUGGCUAUAGCUACUGAAUGGAACUCACAGAAGGAAACAAUCAAGAGGCAGGCUAUGCACCUGACAACCCUUAGUAAUACAGUGCUGGACAAUCCCAUGCAGAGAUCAAGAGGAGACAUUGUUCGAGGGGUGUUACACUUUCUGGAAACAGACACCAUAUUAUACAGAUCAACAGAGCCGCAAGAAUUUUUAGAAUUACAGAAGCAAGAAUGGGAUCCAGUGCUAAAAUGGUUCAGAUCCAGUUACCAGGUAGAGUUAGAUUCCACCACCUCCCUGAUGCCCCCAGAGAUACCAGAAAAUACAGAAGAAGUCAUCACACGGAAAGUCAAUUCGCUCAAUGACUGGGCAUUAGUGGGUUUCCAGUAUGGUGUAGAAAACCUGAAGUCUAUAAUACUUAUGUUAGCAAUCACAGAUAAACGUUUGACUGUAGAAAAAGCUGUGCAACUUGCCAGGCUAGAGACAUUGUACCAGGUAAAUAAAACAAGAUGGAUCCAAUAAGUUCUCAGAAAUAGAUUACAUCAAGAUUUUGCUCAUAAUCUAAUACUGGGCUAAGAGCAGAGCGUAUUGUGUAUUUUGUAGACAAAGAUCUGGGGUAAUGUACAAUGGCACCAUGAUGUAGACAUCUACCAGCUUCAAUCCCGGGUAGCGGCAGCUGCUUUAUUUGUACACUGGUGCAGCAAUGACAUGGCAACUACACAUAAAACAACCUAUAGCAAUCAGACAUAGCAUCAUUUAUGUUUUCUAUUUAAUCAAUAAAUUUUAUUAAGUGUG